UACGUAGGGGGCUAGCGUUGUCCGGAAUCAUUGGGCGUAAAGCGCGUGUAGGCGGUCCGGUAAGUCCGCUGUGAAAGUCGGGGGCUCAACCCUCGAAUGCCGGUGGAUACUGUCGGGCUAGAGUGCGGAAGAGGCGAGUGGAAUUCCUGGUGUAGCGGUGAAAUGCGUAGAUAUCUGGAGGAACACCGGUGGCGAAGGCGGCAUCCUGGACCAAUUCUGACGCUGAGGAGCGAAAGCCAGGGGAGCAAACGGG
rnacentral:rRNA from 1 species